GGGGCUUCUUGGCGUGAGAAAAAAAGAGGAAGAGGGUCCUCCUCUUGGGCUGAAAAAGAGAGGAACUGUUCCUCCUUUUUGGUGUGAGAAAAGAUGAGGAAGAGGGUCUUCCUCAUGGGCUAAAAAAGGAAGAAGAGUCUUCCUUCUUAUGUGCUGAUUUUUGGAGAGGAAAGGUUUCGUUUGGAGGCAUGAAAAAGGAUGAGAAAGGGCACUCUCAUGUGU
rnacentral:lncRNA from 1 species